rnacentral:piRNA from 1 species
AGUAAAUAAAUAUGCAAAUAGGCU